rnacentral:lncRNA from 1 species
AAGUAUAACUCCAACUUCCAGGCUCAGGACCCUCAUCCCUCACCUCCUCCUGCCAAGAUCACCCCAAGCAGAAACCAGGAUCAUAACAAACUCUACCUCACGGGGCUGACCCGAAGGGAUGAUGCAUAGCAGAACACAUGGCUCAGCUGGCCAGCCGGCAGGUCUUAGCAGGUCAUAGUGGCGGAAUGACCAGCCCACAAGUCUUAGCAGGUCGCAAUGGUGGAUGCAGGAUGUUUCUGCCUGACCAGCCUCCAUUCUCACUUCCGAACAGUUUCUGCCUGGAUAUGACAAAUGUCGACCUGGAGCUGUUGGGGCCAUCUGGGCAGAAAGGCUGUCCGGGAAUGAAGUCAAAGAGAUGGAAAAAGAGAAAAAGAGGCCGGCGUCUGGGGUCAUGGUUUGAGCCCCCGAAUCCAACUGUACCUGAAGCCCUGUCUGUUUCAGAAACAGAAGGCAAUAAAUUCAGCCUUUGCCUUAAGCCCGUCAAGCCAGUCUGGGGUGCCUCUUUUUUUUAAUCAACCAAACAAAUACUGGUUAAUAAAACUCCCUGCUCAAAAGCUCCUGGCGGCUCCUUCAUGCCUGCAGGGAGAGGCCAGCACCCUGGGCUCUGGGCCCCACUUGCCUUCCUUUUUGUCCUGAACUCUGGCCCUCAUCCCUCCCAGACAGGUAUCACCCAAGACUGCUGUUUCCCAAACACACCAUGAAGACUCGACCUACAGUUUCUACCCAAACUCUCCUCCACUCCCCACUUGAGCAGUGCCUGCUCACUAGAGCUUGCCUCCUCCUGGAAGCCUCCCCACACUUCCUCCACCACUCUGAGUGUCAGUGGCAUCUACCUCCAGCUUCCCAUCACUCUGCUUAUUUCCCCAGAGUGAAAUUCACUUUUUUUUUUCUUUUUCCUCUUCAAAAAAACUUUGUCUCACUGUAUCAUUUAAGAAAUGAACAUCCUGGAUUGACUUGGGAUUUGACAAAUUCAAACUUGGUUUUAACACACCAUGUGCAUUUCCUGAGCCCCAGGCGUACCAGCAGACACAGGGCUGAAAGACCCAGGGCCUACCCGCAGGGGCUUAGAGGCUGAACCAAACCGUUUCCCAUUUGGCUCAAGACAAUGGAUGCAAAAAUGACCAUUUUUAAAAUUUUAAAUUCAAAUUUAUUUUACUUGGGGAUAAUCAUCACUGACACUCACUGAGCCAUUGCUAGGUCAUUGUCUAUGGGCAGGUCCAUGCAUAAUGUUAUUUAAUCCUCACUCUGGGAAAUGUUAUCCUCACUUACAGAGGAGGUCACUGAAGCUCAGAGAAGUAAAGGGAGCUGCCCAGGGGGUUACAGCAACUGUAGGGAGCUGACCCUAUAUUCUAGCCCUUGUUAUCCUCCCUGGCCUUUCUCAACUGUGUGCGAAUACACUGGGGCCAGCUUCGAAGUCUUUUUAACAUUCACUGUGUAAACUCGGCACCAAGCUAGCUUCCCCUGGUUGCUCACAGGCAGGUGGCUGUCCACACCCACUUCUGUGUGGGGGCCUCUGGCGUCACAUUUCACACCCCUGUUCUGUAGGCAUCGGGUUUCAGAUUUGCUGUAUUUGCUUCCGCUGCCACUACCGGUAGAUCAGAAGCUGGGGAGGUGUUUCAACACAUGAUUGUUUUGAAUAUGGUGACUUCCCCAUCUAUCCCUGCCAUGGGUAACAUCCCAGCAGCCUCUUGAUAGCAGAACAGAGGCCAUUGAGCCUGGCCAAUGAGCUUGCUGCUGGGGCUACCUUUCACCCACAUGCAGGCUUACUUGCCUGCACCCCCGGCAUGGCCCAAGAACCAGUUCUCUGAGUUCAGCCAGGACUUCCAAGAACCUAGCACAGCCAGGUCAGCUCCACUGUGUAUGAGUCCUGAACCCGACCCUAGGCCCCUGCUCCCUCAGUUGCCAUUUGCCAGGCUACCUCCUCCAUUGCUCCUAAAAUCUAGCUCAUCUGCCACCUCCUCCAGGAAGCCUUUGGGGAACUCCUCCAGAUAAAAACUCCAGUGUCCCUCCUCUGGGCUCCCACAGGCCUCAGAGCUCACCCCCUUCUCAGCCCUGAGUGCCAUGUGUAGUCAUUUCCUCUUUUCUAGUCCCUUCUCCCACAGAGCACUGUGAACAUCCCCAAGACAGAAACGAUGUGUUGCUCACCACAGCCUGGGCCCUACAGCUGGCCUGUCACAGGGCUGGUGACGACCGAAUGAAAGGAAAUGCCUAAUGUUUUCUGAGCACUUGCUACAUGCCGGGCACAGAGCCAGGGAUGCCCACAUGGAGAGGGCCUGCCUCACAGUGAAGACAGUAGGAAGGAAAGCAGAGGUAAGAGUUGAAAAGUCCAA